rnacentral:rRNA from 1 species
GUGGACGGACGUGGAAGUAGCAGGGGGAGUAGGUAGAGGGGUAGCGUUGGCGUGUGUUAGUGGGCGUAAAGAGCGGGUGGGCGGCCAGGUAGGUCUGCGGUGAAAACUCGAGGCUUAACCGCGAGAUGUCGGCGGAAACCAUCGGGCUAGAGUCCGGAAGAGGAGAGUGGAAUUCCUGGUGUAGCGGUGAAAUGCGCAGAUAUCGGGAAGAACACCCGUGGCGAAGGCGGCUCUCUGGGACGGUACUGACGCUGAGACGCGAAAGCGUGGGGAGCGAACAGGAUUAGAUACCCCUGAGUC